AUUGAACGCUGGCGGCAGGCUUAACACAUGCAAGUCGAGCGAGCGGCGGACGGGUGAGUAAUGUAUGGGAAACUGCCUGAUGGAGGGGGAUAACUACUGGAAACGGUAGCUAAUAACGCAUACCCUCGGAUGUGCCCAUAUGGGAGUAGAUAGUAGGUGGGGUAAAGGCUCACCUAGGCGACGCUACCUAGCUGGUCGGAGAGGAUGAUCACCCACACUGGAAUUGAGACACGGCCCAGACUCCUACGUGAGGGAGCAGUGGGGAAUAGUGCACAAUGGGCGCAAGCCUGAUGCAGCCAUGCCGCGUGUGUGAAGAAGGCCUUCGGGUUGUAAAGUACUUUCAGCGAGGAGGCGUUACUCGCAGAAGAAGCACCGGCUAACUCCGUGCCAGCAGCCGCGGUAAUUC
rnacentral:rRNA from 1 species